rnacentral:misc_RNA from 1 species
UAAAAUGUCAGCGCCCUUGAAAAAAUGUGAAUGUUGAUAAUCACAGUAAUGUUUCAAUAGAUGAACGCUUAAGAAGGCAAUGGCUCUGUCAAUAUUCAAACAGACGUGUUCUCUUUUAAGAAGCAGUAGUCUGGCAAACGUAUUUUGUUCUUCAGAGAGGUCAUAUAGGUUAGCGGCAUACAGAUCAAGAAGAAAAUUCAAGACUGAAAGAAGACCUUUUCACUAUGUGCCUAAGGGGCACCCUGUUUUACCACCUGAUGGAAAGUACACCACUGAACCACUGACGUAUAUCCGGUCCGGCGGUAGAGACCUGAACGGAAAAGUUGUGAAUGCUAAGAUUGGUGGUGGCCCCAAAGUGAACUGGUACAUGAGGGACGACCACUACCCUGAGGCUGAGGAGACCCAGGGGUUGGAGGAGAAGGUGCUACGGAUCCACCCUGACCCGAUCAGGACUGCUCAUCUCGCCCUGGUGGGGACAGGGAACCACAAGAGGUACAUCAUCGCCCACCAGAACAUGAAGGAGGGGGACAUCAUCAAAACCAACAGGGACAUUCCCACCAUCUCAGUUAGAGCUAUGGAAGGAAAUUCGCACCCACUAGGUGCCCUGCCCAUGGGGACCAUUGUUCACAACAUAGAGAAGAUCCCCGGGGAGGGAGGGCGUGUGUGUCGGGCCGGUGGGGCCAGUGCACAAGUCCUCAGAAAAGUCGGGGAUAAAGUGAUUCUUCGUCUGCCGUCAAAGCACGAGAUUGCCCUUAGCUUCAACUGCAUGGCUACCGUGGGUCAGGUCUCAAACUCCGGGCACGACGAUAUUCCGUGGAAGGGAGUGGGGGAGAAGAUGAGUGCGGGGUACCGACCGAGAACAGGGUGGCACCACCGGAAGACAGGCUACCACGGCAAGAAGAUCAAACCCAAGAGGACUUUUAUUGUCAAACCUACUCCGCCAAAGUAUGAGACAUAUAAGUUGUCGGGGGAUUGAAGUAUUAUGUACUUUUUAGGGCAACGAAUGAUAAUGUUAAAAACUAUAUUAUAUGUAUUUCAAAAAAGUUUGUGGAGAAAAGCUUAAUAUCUCUUAUUGUAUGAAUCCUUUGAAUAAAGACUUACAAUUAC